CUUGGGACGAAUCUACUCUUUUUCUUUUGGAAAGAACAUAUUCUUGGAGGGAGCAUUUUAGAGAAUCUGAUGUUCUUCAGUUUCACCACUACUGACUGUAUAAUUACAACUUACAAGGAAGAAUACCCUCUAGAUACUCCAGGACAAAAGUAGAAAAAAGAGUGAGAUGACAAAGGAUGAAAAACUACAUUAUGUCACAAUUCCUGAAAAAUGUCUUCUGGAGCAGCAAUCCUUCAGCAGCAGCUGGAGUAGGUGCCCUGCACAUCAGGCCCACUCCUCUCAGCACUGCCUUCCUGGGGGCUGCAGCCUCACACUGCCCUUUGGCCAGCCAUCAGCACUGCUGCUGCCAACAAUGACCCCAUUCUGUGUGACAGGAAGACCACUCAUACACCAAAAUGGACACUUGUAAAUGAGACACUAUCCUUGGAGAUUUUCUUGGCUGAAAAUUACAGGAGUUAUUCUGCCUCCGGGAGAUAUUUUUCUCCUGACCAUGCCCCAG
ensembl:lncRNA